GACGAACGCUGGCGGCGUGCUUAACACAUGCAAGUCGAACGGAAAGGCCCUGCUCUUGUGGGGUGCUCGAGUGGCGAACGGGUGAGUAACACGUGAGUAACCUGCCCUUGACUUUGGGAUAACUUCAGGAAACUGGGGCUAAUAUCGGAUAGGAGCUCCUGCUGCAUGGUGGGGGUUGGAAAGUUUCGGCGGUUGGGGAUGGACUCGCGGCUUAUCAGCUUGUUGGUGGGGUAGUGGCUUACCAAGGCUUUGACGGGUAGCCGGCCUGAGAGGGUGACCGGCCACAUUGGGACUGAGAUACGGCCCAGACGCCUACGGGAGGCAGCGGUGGGGAAUAUUGCACAAUGGGCGGAAGCCUGAUACAGCAACGCCGCGUGCGGGAUGACGGCCUUCGGGUUGUAAACCGCUUUCGCCUGUGACGAAGCGUGAGUGACGGUAAUGAGUAAAGAAGCACCGGCUAACUACGUG
rnacentral:rRNA from 1 species